GGGGGUGUAGCUCAGUGGUAGAGUGCUUACCUAGAAUGUGUGAGACUCUGGGUUUGACCCUCAGCACCUCAA
rnacentral:tRNA from 1 species